GAUGAAGAACGUAGCGAAAUGCGAUAAGUAGUGUGAAUUGCAGAAUUCAGUGAAUCAUCGAACCUUUGAACGCACAUUGCGCCCCUCGGUAUUCCGUGGGGCAUGCGUGUUCGAGCGUCAUUUACCCCUCAAGCACUGCUUGGUGUUGGGCGUCUGUCCCGCUUCGCGCGCGGACUCGCCCCAAAGGUAUUGGCAGCGGUCGUGCCAGCUUCUCGCGCAGCACAUUGCGCUUCUCGAGGCGGUCGAUCGGCGUCCACGAAGCUCACCUCCACCGUUUGACCUCGGAUCAGGUAGGGAUACCCGCUGAACUUAAGCAUAUCAAUAAGCGGAGGA
rnacentral:misc_RNA from 1 species